rnacentral:rRNA from 1 species
CCUACGGGCGGCAGCAGUGAGGAAUAUUGGUCAAUGGGCGGGAGCCUGAACCAGCCAAGUCGCGUGAGGGAAGACGGUCCUAUGGAUUGUAAACCUCUUUAGGCGGGGAGCAAUGCCGGGCACGUGUGCCCGGAGGGAGAGUACCCGCAGAAUAAGCAUCGGCUAACUCCGUGCCAGCAGCCGCGGUAAUACGGAGGAUGCGAGCUUUAUCCGGAUUUAGUGGGUUUAAAGGGUGCGUAGGCGGAGUUUUAAGUCAGCGGUAAAAUGUCCGGGCUCAACCCGGGCCGGCCGUUGAAACUGGGGAUCUUGAGUGGGCGAGAAGUAUGCGGAAUGCGUGGUGUAGCGGUGAAAUGCAUAGAUAUCACGCAGAACUCCGAUUGCGAAGGCAGCAUACCGGCGCCCGACUGACGCUGAGGCACGAAAGCGUGGGGAUCGAACAGGAUUAGAUACCCUGGUAGUC